AACUAAGCAUAUCAAUAAGCGGAGGAAAAGAAACUAACAAGGAUUCCCCUAGUAACUGCGAGUGAAGCGGGAAAAGCUCAAAUUUAAAAUCUGGCAGUCUCUGGCUGUCCGAGUUGUAAUCUAGAGAAGUAAUGCCCGUGCUGGACCGUGUAUAAGUCUCCUGGGAUGGGGCGUCAUAGAGGGUGAGAAUCCCGUCUUUGACACGGACUACCAGUGCAUUGUGGUAUGCUCUCAAAGAGUCGAGUUGUUUGGGAAUGCAGCUCAAAAUGGGUGGUAAAUUCCAUCUAAAGCUAAAUAUUGGCGAGAGACCGAUAGCGAACAAGUACCGUGAGGGAAAGAUGAAAAGAACUUUGGAAAGAGAGUUAAACAGUACGUGAAAUUGCUGAAAGGGAAACGCUUGAAGUCAGUCGCGUUGGCCGGGAAUCAGCCUUGCUUUUGCAUGGUGUACUUUCUGGUUGACGGGUCAGCAUCAAUUUUGACUGCUGGAAAAAGGCCUGGGGAAUGUGGCAGCUCCGGCUGUGUUAUAGCCCCUAGUCACAUACAGUGGUUGGGAUUGAGGAACUCAGCACGCCGCAAGGCCGGGUUUCGACCACGUUCGUGCUUAGGAUGCUGGCAUAAUGGCUUUAAGCGACCCGUCUUGAAACACGGACCAAGGAGUCUAACAUGCCUGCGAGUAUUUGGGUGGAAAACCCAAGUGCGUAAUGAAAGUGAAAGUUGAGAUCCCUGUCGUGGGGAGCAUCGACGCCCGGACCAGAACUUUUGGGACGGAUCCGCGGUGGAGCAUGUAUGUUGGGACCCGAAAGAUGGUGAACUAUGCCUGAAUAGGGUGAAGCCAGAGGAAACUCUGGUGGAGGCUCGUAGCGAUUCUGACGUGCAAAUCGAUCGUCAAAUUUGGGUAUAGGGGCGAAAGACUAAUCGAACCAUCUAGUAGCUGGUUCCUGCCGAUUUCCCUC
rnacentral:rRNA from 1 species